rnacentral:rRNA from 1 species
GAUGAACGCUAGCGGCAGGCCUAACACAUGCAAGUCGAGGGGGAAGUUACUUUCGGGUAACUGAGACCGGCGUACGGGUGCGUAACGCGUAUACAAUCUGCCUUUCACUGGGGGAUAGCCCGAAGAAAUUUGGAUUAAUACCCCAUAGUAUAGUAGUGUGGCAUCACACAACUAUUAAAGAUUAGGUGGUGAAAGAUGAGUAUGCGUUCUAUUAGCUAGUUGGAGAGGUAACGGCUCCCCAAGGCUAUGAUAGAUAGGGGUUCUGAGAGGGAUGUCCCCCAAACUGGUACUGAGAUACGGACCAGACUGCUACGGGAGGCAGCAGUGAGGAAUAUUGGACAAUGGUCGGAAGACUGAUCCAGCCAUGCCGCGUGCAGGAUGAAGGUCUUAUGGAUUGUAAACUGCUUUUGUAAGGGAAGAAUAAGGACUACGUGUAGUUUGAUGACGGUACCUUAUGAAUAAGCAUCGGCUAACUCCGUG